rfam:TPA: Bos taurus chromosome 7, whole genome shotgun sequence.
UCCUUGGUGGUCCAGUGGUUAAGACUCUGCGUUUCCACUGCAGGGGGCACAGGUUGGAUCCCUGGUCAGGGAA